rnacentral:rRNA from 1 species
AUUGAACGCUGGCGGAAUGCUUUACACAUGCAAGUCGAGCGGCAGCGCGGGGGCAACCCUGGCGGCGAGCGGCGAACGGGUGAGUAAUACAUCGGAACGUGUCCUUAAGUGGGGGAUAGCUCGGCGAAAGCCGGAUUAAUACCGCAUAAGCUCUGAGGAGGAAAGCGGGGGCUCCGUAAGGACCUCGCGCUGUUGGAGCGGCCGAUGUCGGAUUAGCUAGUUGGUGGGGUAAAGGCCCACCAAGGCGACGAUCCGUAGCUGGUCUGAGAGGAUGAUCAGCCACACUGGGACUGAGACACGGUCCAGACUCCUACGGGAGGCAGCAGUGGGGAAUUUUGGACAAUGGGGGCAACCCUGAUCCAGCCAUUCCGCGUGAGUGAAGAAGGCC